UACGGAGGGUGCAAGCGUUAUCCGGAUUCACUGGGUUUAAAGGGAGCGCAGGCGGGCUGGUAAGUCAGUGGUGAAAGCCUUGAGCUUAACUCGAGAACUGCCAUCGAUACUAUCAGUCUUGAAUAUUGUUGAGGUUUGCGGAAUGGGUCAUGUAGCGGUGAAAUGCAUAGAUAUGACCCGGAACACCUAUUGCGAAGGCAGCAGGCUAAACAAAGAUUGACGCUGAGGCUCGAAAGCGUGGGGAUCAAACAGG
rnacentral:rRNA from 1 species